UAAACCCUAAAAUUUAACAGCCAUUUCCAUUCUAAAAAAUCCAAGGCAAAAGAGAAUCCCCAUGCGCCGCUCCUGCAAUCGGGCUAAUCGGAAGCUCUACGAAUGAUCGUCUGGCUCCGAUUACGGCGGAGUAAACGAUGUUCAGGUAACAGGUGAUGAACCAGCCUGGCGCUGAGGGUGCGCGUGGAUUUGGUGCGGAGGCGCUGCACGCGCGGGGAGGAGGCCUGGCUCGGCUGUAGCGGCUUAGGCUUGAGGCGCAGCGCUUGGGAACCUGGAACGCCAGAUUGUUCUAGAAACCCUUAGGGUUUCUGGAAUUUGGGCUACUUGGGGCUUAAUUGUAAUGGGGUUUUGAUUUUGGGUAAUUUGGGUUUAGGAUUGUAUUUUGGGUUAGGGUAGAGUUGGGUUUGUAAUUGGUUAUUGGGCCACGGGUUUAGUUGGGUUGUAAAUAGAUUUGCAGUUUGUAAAUGGACUUUAUUUAUUUUUGUUUGGUUUUUUAAUUUUUGUUUAUUAUUUGUUUUUCUGAAAUGUUUGUGGGCUGGGUAAAUUGGGCCUAUUACAGAAGCUAACUCUAAAACAGAUUUUCAUCAAGAUUGAAGAUCUCCUUUUACUUUCUUCGAA